rnacentral:tRNA from 1 species
AGUAAGGUCAGCUAAUUUAAGCUUUUGGGCCCAUACCCCAAACAUGUGGGUUAAACUCCCCCCUUUACUG